UGAGGAAUAUUGGGCAAUGCCCGAAAGGGUGACCCAGCAACGCCGCGUGGAGGAUGAAGGUCGUAAGAUUGUAAACUCCUGUUAGAGGGGAAGAAUAACUAAGUUUGGAGCUUAGUAUGACUGUACCCUCAGAGAAAGCCCCGGCUAACUACGUGCCAGCAGCCGCGGUAAUACGUAGGGGGCAAGCGUUGUCCGGAUUUACUGGGUGUAAAGGGCGCGCAGGCGGGAUGGAAAGUCAGUGGUGAAAUCCUACAGCUUAACUGUAGAACUGCCUUUGAUACUUUCAUUCUUGAGUUCGGGAGAGAGAGACGGAAUUCCAGGUGUAGUGGUGAAAUACGUAGAUAUCUGGAAGAACACCAGUUGCGAAGGCGGUCUCUUGGUCCGAUACUGACGCUGAGGCGCGAAAGCGUGGGGAGCAAACA
rnacentral:rRNA from 1 species